UACGAAGGGGGCUAGCGUUGCUCGGAAUCACUGGGCGUAAAGGGUGCGUAGGCGGGUCUUUAAGUCAGGGGUGAAAUCCUGGAGCUCAACUCCAGAACUGCCCUUGAUACUGAGGAUCUUGAGUUCGGGAGAGGUGAGUGGAACUGCGAGUGUAGAGGUGAAAUUCGUAGAUAUUCGCAAGAACACCAGUGGCGAAGGCGGCUCACUGGCCCGAUACUGACGCUGAGGCACGAAAGCGUGGGGAGCAAACAGG
rnacentral:rRNA from 1 species